GUCUUUUUGAAUUUAAUAAUAAGUCUGGCCUGCCCGAUGUGUAAUGAAUGGCCGCGGUAUUUUGACCGUGCGAAGGUAGCAUAAUAAAUAGUCUAUUAAAUGUGGUCUGGAAUGAAAGGUUUAACGAAGGAUAGCUUUCUUAAUUUUAUAGAUGAAUUUUAAUUAUUAGUAAAAAUGCUAAUAUGAUUUAAAGGGACGAGAAGACCCUAUAGAGCUUUAUAUAAUCUCUAUUAAAGGUAGGAUUAAGAUUUAGAAUUAUAUUUUGUUGGGGCGACAUAAAAUAUUAAACAUUUUAUUUUAAAAUCUUUUAUAAAAGGUAAGGUGAUCCAUUAUUAAUGAUUAAAAGACUAAGUUACCUUAGGGAUAACAGCGUAAUUUCAUUUUAGAGUUCUUAUCGAUGAUGAAGUUUGCGACCUCGAUGUUGGAUUACAAUUCCUAUAUGGCGCAGUAGCUUUAUGAGGUAGUCUGUUCGACUAUUAAAAUUGUACA
rnacentral:rRNA from 1 species